AUUGAACGCUGGCGGCAGGCCUAACACAUGCAAGUCGAACGAGUGGCGGACGGGUGAGUCAUGUCUGGGAAACUGCCUGAUGGAGGGGGAUAACUACUGGAAACGGUAGCUAAUCCCGCAUACCAUCGGAUGUGCCCCGAUGGGAUUAGCGAGUAGGUGGGGUAACGGCUCACCUGGGCGACGAUCCCUAGCUGGUCUGAGAGGAUGACCGGCCACACUGGAACUGAGACACGGUCCAGACUCCUACGGGAGGCAGCAGUGGGGAAUAUUGCAAAAUGGGCGCAAGCCUGAUGGAGCCAUGCCGCGUGUGUGAAGAAGGCCUUCGGGUUGUAAAGUACUGUCGGCGGGGAGGCGUUACCCGCAGAGGAAGCACCGGCUAACUCCGUGCCAGCAGCCGCGGUAAUAC
rnacentral:rRNA from 1 species